rfam:Aspergillus flavus AF70 80, whole genome shotgun sequence.
GGGGAUGUGGUUUAGUGGUAUAAUAUUCCCUUAGCAUGGGAGAGGUCCGGGGUUCGAUUCCCCGCAUCUCCA